UACGUAGGGGACCAAGCGUUGUUCGGAUUUACUGGGCGUAAAGGGCGCGUAGGCGGCAAUUCAAGUCAGCUGUGAAAACUCUCCGGGCUUAACGUCGGAACGGUCAGCUGAUACUGUUUUGCUAGAGUGCAGAAGGGGCAAGUCGGAAUUCUUGGUGUAGCGGUGAAAUGCGUAGAUAUCAAGAGGAACACCUGAGGUGAAGACGGGUUGCUGGGCUGACACGUGACGCUGAGGCGCGAAAGCCUAGGGUAGCAAACGGG
rnacentral:rRNA from 1 species